GUUUUUCCUUCUCCUUGUCCUUCUUCUCUUUCUCCUUCCCAGUGCUGUGGAUGCAACCCACAGUCUUGGACAUGCUAGGCAAGCACUCUGCCACUGAGCUACACCCCCAGUUCUAAAUAACAGUUUUCCAUCUUCAAGGAAGAAACACAGAGACAUCAGAGAUUUCAGGCAGUUCAUCAAGAGUGGUGAAAUUCCAUCAUAAGUAUUCCGGAAACUUCUUGGUUCCUGAAAAGGAGUGUGCUGUGUUCCUGACUGAACAAACUUAUCUACUUCGGUCUAGAAUUUAAUCUGAGAUGACCCAGCAUUGAAGGGAGAAUUGUAACCACCAAAUGGGAAAAGGGAAAAGCCUAUGAGAAAUGUUCCAGUACUUUCU
rnacentral:lncRNA from 1 species